rnacentral:lncRNA from 1 species
AUGGUCCCCGGCGGCGCGUUUGCAAACCCCACCAGCGCCAACGCCUCAAACCCGCUAAACUUCCUGUCUCCGCACCAGCCCAGCGCCCCCAGCGCCGCGCCAAGUGCCCCCGAGGCGCGCGCGGAGACAGCUGCGGCCCCGGGGCCGUGGGCGGGGUUUCCUGCCCCCCCCCCCCCCCCCCGCCCAGCCCCGAGCGCCCGAGCCCGCGCCUCCGCUGGGGGUCUCCGGCCGUGCGCUCUGCGCCCCGGGCGCACGCGGAGCUGCCGCGCCCCCGCCGCGCGCUGCCCGCCCUCCCCCCGGCCGGCGCCCGCCUACCUGCCGCGCCGCCGCCUCCCUCGGGCGCUCGGGGGCUGCCGACCGCUACUUUAUUGUCUCGGCGGCUCACCGCGCGGGACGCGGGGGCCCGGCUCUGCGCCAGCCCUGCCAGCAACUCCGCGGGGCGCCGCGCCCUCCUCUGCCUCCGGCUCCCGGCCCGAGCUCCUGCCCCGCACGGGAGGCGCGCAGCCCGACCCCCGGGCUCGCUGGGCGGCCGGCGCCAGCCGCAUCCCCGGCCCGGGGCCGCGCGUCCCCGCUUCGGUCCACACUGAGCGCUGCGCCCGGCCGCCCGCCUGCCUCGCUGUCAGCCCGGGCGCCCGGCUCGGCUCUCCGCAGCCGCCCCCGCCCGCCGCCGCCGCCGCCUCUCCGGGGGCCGGGGCGGCCGCUGCCAAUGAGACUCGGCUGAUGCGCUGUUCCGGCCCAGUCAUUGUAUCGGGCGGGGAGGAAGGGGAGGGGAGCGGGAGGAGGGAGGGGGCGCCCUCGGCCCCCGCCGCGCGGCUGCCGGCUGGGCUCGCCUACCCCGACCGAGAAAAGGCGCUGGUGCCAAGGGGCGCGGAGCGGCUGGCGCGGCCGGGAGUGGGGGGGGGGGUGCAGGGGGCACGAGCCCGCGCCCCUCCAUCCCUCGCCCCGAGCCCUCCCCUGCCUGCAGGCGCGCGGACGGCUCGGUUGGCCUCCCAGGCUUCAGCAUCCCAAGCCCGACUGCCCUUAGAAUAA